rnacentral:rRNA from 1 species
GACGAACGCUGGCGGCGUGCUUAACACAUGCAAGUCGAACGGGGUCCAUGAGAGCUUGCUCUCGGAAGACCUAGUGGCGAACGGGUGAGUAACACGUGAGAAACCUGCCUCGGAGUGGGGAAUAACUCGAGGAAACUCGAGCUAAUACCGCAUACCUUCAUUUGACCGCAUGGUCAGUUGAAGAAAGAUUUAUCGCUCUGAGAGGGUCUCGCGGCCUAUCAGCUUGUUGGUGGGGUAACGGCCUACCAAGGCAACGACGGGUAGCUGGAUUGAGAGAUCGACCAGCCACACUGGAACUGAGACACGGUCCAGACUCCUACGGGAGGCAGCAGUGGGGAAUAUUGGUCAAUGGGCGAAAGCCUGAACCAGCCAUGUCGCGUGAAGGAUGAAGGUCCUAUGGAUUGUAAACUUCUUUUGCAGGAGGGUAAAGUGAGCUACGUGUAGUUCAUUGCAAGUACCCUGCGAAUAAGCAUCGGCUAACUCCGUGCC